rnacentral:lncRNA from 1 species
UUUCUCUGUGCCCUCCUGUGUUCCGAGGUUCUAGGCUAACGUCCUUAACUCCUUCUUGACCAGAGACUAGAGCGGGGUUGAGUCUAUGGAUCUCAGUGGGCCAGGUGAUCCCAGCUGUGGGAAGAAGAGGCCAGGGAGCCUGGGUUCUGGACGGAAGUGAUGGCACUAAGAAGGUUAGUGGUGAGCCUGCCUCAAGGAGAUCAGGGCGCCUGCA